rnacentral:lncRNA from 1 species
AUGGAAAAAAUAAUCAAAAAAAACAAGUUACUUGUUUUUAUGUUAUGUUGGAUGAGUCAUGUAUAUUUUUUAAAUAAUAUAUGUAAAAAUAAGCUAUUACAAGCUUUAAUAUAUUCUGUUUAUGUUAAUAAUAAUAAAGUAAGUUCUAAUAAAUUAUAUAGAGAUCCUAUAUAUUUAUUUUUAUUUAUUAAAAACAAUUUUGAAUUAAUUGCAGAUAGUCAAUCAUGGAUUGCUGGUAAUAAAAUUCUAUCAAAAAAUAUAAAAGGUUCUUUUAUUUUUCGCAUAAUAAGAAGUAUACACAGAAAAAAAGCUAAUAAUGUUAUCCUUAAUUUACUUUUUAUUUGUUUAUGUAGAUGUUUAAAGAUACCUAGUCGUAUUUGUAUAGCAUUACCAAAAUUACCAAAUAAAGUGGAUGUUCAUAAAAAUCAUAAAUUUUUAAAAAAAUAUGUACAUACAUAUUAUAAUGAUCUAAAAAAGAAUUUUUUUUUUAAUAAUUUUUUGGAAUUUGUUACAAAUAGUAAUAAUACUACGAUUAGUUCUGUUAGUGUCGAUGAUAAUAUAGAAAAAUAUCAGGAGGGGGGUACUAAGAAUUGUUAUAAGAAUGUUAUUACUAUCAAAGAUGAUAGUGGUAGUGAUAGUGAUGAUGGUGAUGAUGGUGAUGAUGAUAACUAUGUAACAGUUAGAACAAAAACUGGAAAGAGUGACAGUAUCCGUAAUAAAAAAACGGAAAACUUUAACAACAGAGACGGAACAAUACAGUUUAAUAUUUUUUCAGAGUGCUAUUCUUCAAGUUUUAAUAAAUGGGUCUCCUUCUUUUUUUGUUAUAAUCUUUAUUAUUUUAAUUCUUAUGAUUUUUCAAAAAAUAAUAAUUGCCAAAAAAAUGAAAGUAAAAUAUAUCAUAUAUUAUUACCCCUACCAAAAAACCCAGAAGAAAUAAAAACUUAUAAAAAAGAAAAGGUAAGUAAUUCAUUGCGCUCGUUUAAUCAAUCUAUUUUUAUGAGUAAAAAGCGAGUUAUUCAGUCGGAUAAUAGUAGUAGUGGUGGCGGUAGUAACAGUAGUGGUGGCGGUAGUAACAGUAGUGACAGUAGUAACAGUAGUGACACUUACCAUAAAACAGAAAAGCAAAAAAAUCAAAAGGAGUUGAAACUGUUAAAUUAA